CAGAAGGACAGAGUGAGCACAGCAUGUGUCUCCUUCCUGAACACCAAAAAGGCAGCUUCUGUCCAGAGUAUCUGAAGACGUGUGUGAAGGUAAAACUACAGAAGGAAAUCUGGAGUGGGGAAACUUGCCAGCAACUCCAGUCAGGGGUGAUGAGCUCCCUGCUGAUCCAUCCUCGGUGCCAGGCAGGUUUACCAUUACUGGGCUAGGGAAGGAUAUUCUAGCAGUGAUUGAUUUUACUGGAAAGCAGAUGGAAGAGAGAAUAAGUGGAAUGGCC